GAAAUGCGAUAAGUAGUGUGAAUUGCAGAAUUCAGUGAAUCAUCGAAUCUUUGAACGCACAUUGCGCCCCUUGGUAUUCCAUGGGGCAUGCCUGUUCGAGCGUCAUUUGUACCCUCAAGCUCUGCUUGGUGUUGGGUGUUUGUCCCCGUCUCCGCGCGUGGACUCGCCCCAAAGUGAUUGGCAGCCGGCGUACUGGUCCCGGAGCGCAGCACAUGUCGCGCAAACGAGUGCCUUGGUACGGCGGCGUCCAUAAGCCCCUCUCUCACGCUCUUGACCUCGGAUCAGGUAGGGAUACCCGCAGAACUUAAGC
rnacentral:misc_RNA from 1 species